CGGGAAUUUUGUUUUGCUAAUUUGCACUUUAAAGAGCAAAUUUGUGACAAGUUACUUCGCUUUUAGAUCGUAUUUACUUUUGUUACAGAUGAUAUUUGUAACAAAUAAUUGUCACAGAUGAUAUUUACUAGCUAAAGGCUUGAAAAAAUCUAUCAACGAACGAAAUUUUCCUUGGAAAAUGUCGACAAGAAGCAAACAAGAAUCGAGUAAGCCAAUGCAUGUGCUCUCUGAAAGCAUGUCAUUCACGUC